CCUACGGGCGGCAGCAGUGAGGAAUAUUGGUCAAUGGGCGAGAUCCUGAACCAGCCAAGCCGCGUGAAGGAUGACGGCCCUACGGGUUGUAAACUUCUUUUGUAAGGGAGCAAUUGAGUCCACGUGUGGGCUUAGCGAGAGUACCUGAGGAAAAAGCAUCGCCUAACUCCGUGCCAGCAGCCGCGGUAAUACGGGGGAUGCGAGCGUUAUCCGGAUUUAUGGGGUUAAAAGGGUGCGUAGGCGGAAUAUCAAGUCAGCGGUAAAAAUUCGGGGCUCAACCCCGUCGUGCCGUUGAAACUGAUGUUCUUGAGUGGGCGAGAAGUAUGCGGAAUGCGUGGUGUAGCGGUGAAAUGCAUAGAUAUCACGCAGAACUCCGAUUGCGAAGGCAGCAUACCGGCGCCCAACUGACGCUGAAGCACGAAAGCGUGGGUAUCGAACAGGAUUAGAUACCCGGGUAGUC
rnacentral:rRNA from 1 species